rnacentral:pre_miRNA from 1 species
AAGACAUUUGGACCGUCUGUCUACUGAGCCAUUUCAUCCGCUCAGUGGAAGACCUUCCCAACACGCCUU